rnacentral:rRNA from 1 species
UACAAGGUUUCCGUAGGUGAACCUGCGGAAGGAUCAUUACCAGAACAACGCCUCUUCGAGAAAACCGGAGCAGGCGUUGGGCGGCCCGACUCGAACGAGUCCCCGGGACAGGGAGGGGCCGUGGGCCCGAGGGAAAGAGGUUGAAAGCGCUCACGUCGGCCGCGGCUCACGCCCGGACGUGGCCACCGCUCCCCGCCCCGCCCCUCCACCGCCGGGUGGCUCGUUUGGGAAAAACCAACUCUCCGCGUACACCUCCCUGUUGCUUCCCCGGGGAGAGCCCCGGGGGAGGCCCCCGAGCAAGCCACGCCGCCCAACCCAACAGUCGCCCCUCCGUCUGAUGGCCAGCGUGCCAAGGAAGUGGGAACGAUCGAGGAAACGAAGAAUGAAAACUUUCAACAACGGAUCUCUUGGUUCCCGCAUCGAUGAAGAACGCAGCGAAAUGCGAUAAGUAAUGUGAAUUGCAGAAUUCAGUGAAUCAUCGAAUCUUUGAACGCACAUUGCGCCCCCUGGCAUUCCGGGGGGCAUGCCUGUUCGAGCGUCUCCGGGACGAACCCUCGCGCGAGUGAAAGCGUGGUGAUGGCGGCGGUGGCGCGCCCGAUGCGGCGGCCACCCCGCUGGAAUCCAUGGGCCGGGGCCUGCCGCGUGGCCGAGCGUGAUAUGACGCAUUGGCGCUCGUGCGCGGCGAGGCUGCCGGCCCUUGCCCGCCCGUCGGGCGGGGGAGAGCAAGACAUUGGAACUCCUCGAAU